AAAGUACUCCCUCCGUCCCAAAAUUCUUGUCUUAGAUUUGUCUAGAUACAGAUGUAUCAAGUCACAUUUUAGUAUUAGAUACAUCUGUAUCUAUACAAAUCUAAGACAAGAAAUUUGGGACAGAGGGAGUAGUUG
rnacentral:pre_miRNA from 1 species